AUCAGCAGGAGUGGAUGCCCGGGCUUCUCCACCUCUCCCUGCCUGUGGUUUCUUCACAUACCGUCUCAGCCGAGCGGGGGGAGCCCGCCUGAUCUGUUCAAUCACCCGAGAGCACCAAGGCAGGACCCCGUAAAGCACAAAGAUGGGGAGCUCAGCCUGGCCCAGAUGGAUCAUAUUUCGUCAUCUUAAGAAACCACAGCAGUGCACUCCCUUCUUUCAAAUGAAGGACCAUUUUCUGC